ACCUCAGCUCUUGAUCUCGAUGAAUUGGAAGACCCAUCCACAUGAAGAAUCUAUUGGUCUUUAGGAUCAGGGUCCAUAUUUAUUUAUUCCUCUAGCGCCAUUAAGCUACUCCAGCUGAGGAACCUUGAAGUUUGGUGGGAUAGAUUUUUGGAGGAUGCUCGCCACGAAAGGCAGUUCAAAAUUGAAUCUGUCAGAUGGGGCUGACGGAUUGUUGCAAAUCUAUUGGAUCUUCUGAUCCAUUUCUUGAAGUCUUCGCUUGAUUGCACAUCUCGGUUGGUAUGCACUUCAGAGUGCGGAGG
rnacentral:lncRNA from 1 species